rnacentral:rRNA from 1 species
UACGUAGGGGGCUAGCGUUGUCCGGAUUUAUUGGGCGUAAAGGGCGCGUAGGCGGUGCGGUAAGUCACCUGUGAAACCUCUAGGCUUAACCUAGAGCCUGCAGGCGAAACUGCCGUGCUGGAGUGUGGGAGAGGUGCGUGGAAUUCCCGGUGUAGCGGUGAAAUGUGUAGAGAUCGGGAGGAACACCGGUGGCGAAGGCGGGUCUCUGGGCAAUUCCUGACGCUGAGGCGCGAAAGCGUGGGGAGCAAACGGG